rnacentral:tRNA from 1 species
GUGCUGGUCGCGGAAGAGCGCGGCUGGAUCUGAGAUGUUCGGACUCUCGGGGCUCUUCGGGUCGAUGUGGCGUCCGAUGCGCCACCGGCGCC